CGUGCCAGCAAUGCCACACGAGGAGGCGAGAGACACAGAAAGUGCACUUCCUUGGAGAAAUAUUGGUACUUCCGAGAUCGACAAGUCCGUUUCUCCCUCAGAGGGAGACGCUUGCAGUAAAAUACCCCGAGGGACGUGUCAGGCCUUCCAAGUUUCCGAAAGACAAAUCGCCACGCACUGCAUCCAGAAACCCGAACUCGACCUUCGUUCGCUAUACACAGAGGGCUUUUCUGUCCCGUUUCCCGUGCAUCUUUUUCGACAAAUAACGCGAUCCUUCCCAACUUUCCUCCUUUCCCCCCCGUCGUUUCGACGCUUUCCCGUCGUUUCGCUUUGAAGUUGAACCUCUCCGAACACGAUCUACUGGUUUCAGUCGGGAAGUACCCCGGUUCAGACACGCCGCGCUGAGCCUCGAAAUCUCGCAACGACGCGGGUUUUGUAGGCUUUUCGCUCCGCUGUUUCACAGAUCCGCAAUGUCGAGGCGCGCCAGGAACUGGCGUGCGAUGAAUGGAGGCUCUUUACCGCGACACAGGCACAGUUUUUACCGCUGG
rnacentral:lncRNA from 1 species